UUUGGAAAAGAGCUUUGGAGGCUAGAAGGGGGAAGAUAGGCCUCUACCCUAUGUGCUUCCCAGCACCUUCCCACACAGUGAGAAAUUGAAGAAUUGCCGAUAAGACCUUUAUAAGACAACUAGCUUCAACCAGCUUCAAAAACAGAAAAGAACAACAAACACCAAUCCCAACAAAGGCAAUGCUCUAAUCUAGAAAAUGGACCUUCUCUAUGAAGAAAAACCAACAAUCUGUUAAAGACCCUCUGUUGCAAGAGGGAAUACUCUAAGAAAUACAGCUUAGUACCAACAGAACCAUAUUUUAUUUAAAUAG